ensembl:snRNA U6 U6 spliceosomal RNA
UUGCUUCAGCAGCAAGUAUGCUAAAGUUGGAUGAGGGUGUCCCCUGUGCAAGGAUGACAUACAAAUUCAUGAAACGUUCCAUAUUUUU